ACAUGUCUUAUUUCUGGACACACCACAGACAUGUUUUGGGAUUUAUUAUAAUUCUGCAAAGGUGGUUUGGUAGAGUGAUGAACUAAUUUGAAAACAAGUGGGUGGGAUAUGAAAAAAGGAAAAGAAAAGAAGAGAAUGAUCAUAAGGCUGGGCAUUUCAUCCUGUUUCACUUCUUGUGUCCUUAAUAUGACCCUGUUCAGUUCAUACUUAUUUUUCCCCCUCAUAUAUGCUUGUUCAUACUUAGUUCUUGGGACGUAAAAUCUGGGUGUUUUUUCCAUGUUAAAGUAGUGUUAUCAGUGUUUGUGUUCGUGCCCGUGCUUUUUAGUCAAUGUGGCUAUCUCAUAAACAAAUGCUUAUCAUUUCAUUUCAUGCAUUGAAUUGUUCCAGUCGAGAGAGUACACAACAACAGCAACAUGUAGACCAGAACAAUGCUUCCAUGGAAUGAUCAAUAGUGUGACUGGCACUGAUAGGGAGGGUCGGUCUCGGCAACGGAUUCUUACAUUUGCUGCCAGGAGAUCUGCCAUUUGACUUUAGUUUCUUUGCAAUACAACACUUGUAUUUGCUGCAUCAGAUAGGCCAACUGUCAUUUAUAGCAGUAACAAGAAAUUACUCUUACAGCAAUUUAAAUUUGAAAGAGGUCAGUGAUAUGUGCCUUUUCAACUCCGCUGCUUUUCUGGACAGUCCAUGCUUUUAUAGGUAAAUUCUAUGCCACUUCUUGGUAAUUUUAGCUCAUCAGUUUGUUUUGGUCAAAGUCAUCACUCCUACCGUUGAACUCUCUCUCUCCAUUGUUGUGGUUUUCUGUCAUCGAAAGACCUGCACAAGACCAUCUUGGGGUCAGUUUCUCAGCAACAGCAACAAUUGAGAUGCAUGGAGGAACAUGUCUCUCAUUUCUUGCUAGUAAAUAUGACGAAGAGGCUGCUAGAGAGAGAAGCAGGCAAU